GAUGAACGCUGGCGGCGUGCCUAAUACAUGCAAGUCGAGCGAACAGACGAGGAGCUUGCUCCUCUGACGUUAGCGGCGGACGGGUGAGUAACACGUGGAUAACCUACCUAUAAGACUGGGAUAACUUCGGGAAACCGGAGCUAAUACCAGAUAACAUGUUGAACCGCAUGGUUCAACAGUGAAAGACGGUCUUGCUGUCACUUAUAGAUGGAUCCGCGCCGCAUUAGCUAGUUGGUAAGGUAACGGCUUACCAAGGCAACGAUGCGUAGCCGACCUGAGAGGGUGAUCGGCCACACUGGAACUGAGACACGGUCCAGACUCCUAUGGGAGGCAGCAGUAGGGAAUCUUCCGCAAUGGGCGAAAGCCUGACGGAGCAACGCCGCGUGAGUGAUGAAGGUCUUCGGAUCGUAAAACUCUGUUAUUAGGGAAGAACAAAUGUGUAAGUAACUAUGCACGUCUUGACGGCACCUAAUCAGAAAGCCACGGCUAACUACGUG
rnacentral:rRNA from 1 species